rnacentral:rRNA from 1 species
GAUGAACGCUGGCGGCGUGCCUAAUACAUGCGAGUCGAGCGAACAGACGAGGAGCUUGCUCCUUCGACGUUAGCGGCGGACGGGUGAGUAACACGUAGGUAACCUACCUAUAAGACUGGGAUAACUUCGGGAAACCGGAGCUAAUACCGGAUAAUAUUUCGAACCGCAUGGUUCGAUAGUGUAAGAUGGCUUUGCUAUCACUUAUAGAUGGACCUGCGCCGUAUUAGCUAGUUGGUAAGGUAACGGCUUACCAAGGCAACGAUACGUAGCCGACCUGAGAGGGUGAUCGGCCACACUGGAACUGAGACACGGUCCAGACUCCUACGGGAGGCAGCAGUAGGGAAUCUUCCGCAAUGGGCGAAAGCCUGACGGAGCAACGCCGCGUGAGUGAUGAAGGUCUUCGGAUCGUAAAACUCUGUUAUUAGGAAAGAACAAACGUGUAAGUAACUGUGCACGUCUUGACGGUACCUAAUCAGAAAGCCACGGCUAACUACGUG